rnacentral:rRNA from 1 species
CCUACGGGUGGCAGCAGUGGGGAAUAUUGGGCAAUGGGCGCAAGCCUGACCCAGCAACGCCGCGUGAAGGAAGAAGGCUUUCGGGUUGUAAACUUCUUUUGUCAGGGAAGAGUAGAAGACGGUACAUGACGAAUAAGCCACGGCUAACUACGUGCCAGCAGCCGCGGUAAUACGUAGGUGGCAAGCGUUGUCCGGAUUUACUGGGUUUAAAGGGCGUGUAGCCGGGUUGACAAGUCAGAUGUGAAAUCCGGCGGCUUAACCGCAGAACUGCAUUUGAAACUGUUGAUCUUGAGUACUGGAGAGGCGGACGGAAUUCCUGGUGUAGCGGUGAAAUGCGUAGAUAUAAGGAGGAACACCAGUGGCGAAGGCGGUCUGCUGGACAGCAACUGACGGUGAGGCGCGAAAGCGUGGGGAGCAAACAGGAUUAGAUACCCUAGUAGUC